ensembl:rRNA 5S_rRNA 5S ribosomal RNA
GUCUACGGCCAUACCACCCUGAACGUGCCCGAUCUCUUCUGAUCUUGGAAGCUAAGCAGGGUCGGGCCUAGUUAGUACUUGGAUGGGAAAAGCACAUGUAUCUUUUGUCCAGUGUGGUCC